GGGAAUCUACCCAUUUCUGCGGAAUAGCUCUGGGAAACUGGAAUUAAUACCGCAUACGCCCUACGGGGGAAAGAUUUAUCGGGGAUGGAUGAGCCCGCGUUGGAUUAGCUAGUUGGUGGGGUAAAGGCCUACCAAGGCGACGAUCCAUAGCUGGUCUGAGAGGAUGAUCAGCCACAUUGGGACUGAGACACGGCCCAAACUCCUACGGGAGGCAGCAGUGGGGAAUAUUGGACAAUGGGCGCAAGCCUGAUCCAGCCAUGCCGCGUGAGUGAUGAAGGCCUUAGGGUUGUAAAGCUCUUUCACCGGUGAAGAUAAUGACGGUAACCGGAGAAGAAGCCCCGGCUAACUUCGUGCCAGCAGCCGCGGUAAUACGAAGGGGGCUAGCGUUGUUCGGAAUUACUGGGCGUAAAGCGCACGUAGGCGGAUAUUUAAGUCAGGGGUGAAAUCCCAGAGCUCAACUCUGGAACUGCCUUUGAUACUGGGUAUCUUGAGUAUGGAAGAGGUAAGUGGAAUUGCGAGU
rnacentral:rRNA from 1 species